rnacentral:rRNA from 1 species
UCAUAAGCGGAGGAAAAGAAACCAACUGGGAUUACCUUAGUAACGGCGAGUGAAGCGGUAAAAGCUCAAAUUUGAAAUCUGGUACUUUCAGUGCCCGAGUUGUAAUUUGUAGAAUUUGUCUUUGAUUAGGUCCUUGUCUAUGUUCCUUGGAACAGGACGUCAUAGAGGGUGAGAAUCCCGUUUGGCGAGGAUACCUUUUCUCUGUAAGACUUUUUCGAAGAGUCGAGUUGUUUGGGAAUGCAGCUCAAAGUGGGUGGUAAAUUCCAUCUAAAGCUAAAUAUUGGCGAGAGACCGAUAGCGAACAAGUACAGUGAUGGAAAGAUGAAAAGAACUUUGAAAAGAGAGUGAAAAAGUACGUGAAAUUGUUGAAAGGGAAGGGCAUUUGAUCAGACAUGGUGUUUUUUGCAUGCACUCGCCUCUCGUGGGCUUGGGCCUCUCAAAAAUUUCACUGGGCCAACAUCAAUUCUGGCAGCAGGAUAAAUCAUUAAGAACGUAGCUACCUCGGUAGUGUUAUAGCUUUUUGGAAUACUGCUAGCUGGGAUUGAGGACUGCGCUUCGGCAAGGAUGUUGGCAUAAUGGUUAAAUGCCGCCCGUCUUGAACACCGG